rnacentral:rRNA from 1 species
AGUGAACGCUGGCGGUAGGCCUAACACAUGCAAGUCGAACGGCAGCACAGUAAGAGCUUGCUCUUACGGGUGGCGAGUGGCGGACGGGUGAGGAAUACAUCGGAAUCUACUUUUUCGUGGGGGAUAACGUAGGGAAACUUACGCUAAUAUCGCAUACGACCUACGGUUGAAAGCAGGGGAUCUUCGGACCUUGCGCGAUUGGAUGAGCCGAUGUCGGAUUAGCUAGUUGGCGGGGUAAAGGCCCACCAAGGCGACGAUCCGUAGCUGGUCUGAGAGGAUGAUCAGCCACACUGGAACUGAGACACGGUCCAGACUCCUACGGGAGGCAGCAGUGGGGAAUCUUGGACAAUGGGCGCAAGCCUGAUCCAGCCAUACCGCGUGGGUGAAGAAGGCCUUCGGGUUGUAAAGCCCUUUUGUUGGGAAAGAAAAGCAGCAGGUUAAUACCCCGCUGUUCUGACGGUACCCAAAGAAUAAGCACCGGCUAACUUCGUG